rnacentral:rRNA from 1 species
UACGGAGGAUCCGAGCGUUAUCCGGAUUUAUUGGGUUUAAAGGGUGCGCAGGCGGGAUGUUAAGUCGGCGGUGAAAUUUUGCAGCUCAACUGUAAAAGUGCCUUCGAUACUGGCUUUCUUGAGUGUGGAUGAAGUAGGCGGAAUUUGUGGUGUAGCGGUGAAAUGCUUAGAUAUCACGAGGAACUCCGAUUGCGCAGGCAGCUUACUAAACCACUACUGACGCUCAUGCACGAAGGCGUGGGGAUC